rnacentral:rRNA from 1 species
GACGAACGCUGGCGGCGUGCUUAACACAUGCAAGUCGAACGGUAAGGCCCUUCGGGGUACACGAGUGGCGAACGGGUGAGUAACACGUGGGUGAUCUGCCCUGCACUUCGGGAUAAGCCUGGGAAACUGGGUCUGAUACCGGAUAGGACCACUGCCUGCAAGGGUGGUGGUGGAAAGCUUUUGCGGUGUGGGAUGGGCCCGCGGCCUAACAGCUUGUUGGGGGGGUGAUGGCCUACCAAGGCGACGACGGGUAGCCGGCCGGAGAGGGUGACCGGCCACACUAGGACUGAGAGACGGCUCAGACUCCUACGGGAGGCAGCAGUGGGGAAUAUUGCGCAAUGGGCGCACGGCUGAUGCAGCGACGCCGCGUGGGGGAUGACGUCGUUCGGGUUGUAAACCUCUUUCAGCACCGACGAAGCGCAAGUGACGGUAGGUGCAGAAGAAGGACCGGCCAACUACGUGCCAGCAGCCGCCGUAA